CCCUAGCCCUGAUGAAAGCGGCAUCCUUUUUUGAGAGCCUUUUUUGGCGAACAAAAAAGAUACAGCGAACAGCGGGGAAAUGC
rnacentral:sRNA from 1 species